rnacentral:misc_RNA from 1 species
UUAAUUAAUUUAAUAAUUGUCUCAGACUACAUACUUCAGACGAGUUCACAGGUGGCUUCGGCGGGCGCGGGCCCGGGGGCAGAUGCCCCCCGGCGGCCGUGAGGCGGGCUCGCCGAAGCAACAAGGUUCGUUAAACACGGGUGGGAGGUUGGACCCAGAGGGCCCUCACUCGGUAAUGAUCCUUCCGCAGGUUCACCUACGGAAA